AUUCCUACGGGAGGCAGCAGGGGGGAAUUUUGGACAAUGGGGGCAACCCUGAUCCAGCAAUGCCGCGUGAGUGAAGAAGGCCCUCGGGUUGUAAAGCUCUUUUGUCAGGGAAGAAAAGGCUGUGGCUAAUAUCCACAGCUGCUGACGGUACCUGAAGAAUAAGCACCGGCUAACUACGUGCCAGCAGCCGCGGUAAUAAU
rnacentral:rRNA from 1 species